CUACGUAGGGGGCAAGCGUUGUCCGGAAUCAUUGGGCGUAAAGCGCGUGUAGGCGGCCUGCCAAGUCCGAUGUGAAAGCUCGGGGCUCAACCCCGAGUCUGCAUUGGAAACUGGCAGGCUUGAGUCCGGAAGAGGAGACUGGAAUUCCUGGUGUAGCGGUGAAAUGCGCAGAUAUCAGGAAGAACACCGGUGGCGAAGGCGGGUCUCUGGGUCGGUACUGACGCUGAGACGCGAAAGCGUGGGGAGCAACAAGGAUUAGAUCCCCUGGUAGUCCACGCCGUAAACGAUGGGCACUAGUUGUGGGGGGUGUCGACUCCUUCCGUGCCGAAGCUAACGCAUUAAGUGCCCCGCCUGGGGAGUACGGCCGCAAGGCUAAAACUCAAAUGAAUUGACGGGG
rnacentral:rRNA from 1 species